GUUAGACAUACCUAAAGAAGUAGU
rnacentral:piRNA from 1 species